rnacentral:rRNA from 1 species
AGCGGCCGAGCGGCCGCACCCCCACCCCCCCAUCCUUGCCACACACACAAUUCCUCUCUCUCCGCCCGCAUCCUCGACGCCGGUCUGGCGCGCCUGGCGCGCGACCUGGCCGCCGCCGACCCGCCGGCGCCGUUCCUCGGGGCCGUCUUCGCGUCCGUGUCCCGCCGGGCGCGCCUCCUCGUGGUCGUGUUCGACGACCUGCUGCUGCUGGGCGCGGCCGUCGCCCUGCCGCGGUCCGCCUCGCUCUGCCUCCGCGAGGUGCUCCUCGUGCUGCAGCGUUUCAAGGCCGUCGUGGCCGACUGCUCCGCGCGCAGCCGCAUGCGCCUGCUGCUGCAGUCCGACGAGGUCGCCGCGCGCGUGCACGAGCUGCAGCACGACCUCGCCACGCUGCUCGAUAUUCUCCCGGUUGGUGAGCUCGGGCUCGCCGACGACGUGGCCGACCUGCUCACGCUCGCCUCGCGCCAGUGCCGGCGCCGCGCGCCCGAGGCCGCGGCCGAGCAGGAGCUCAAGGCCAGCGUGCUGGCGCUCAUCCAGGAAGUCGAGCGGGAGAUCGUGCCUGAGCGGGAGCGCCUGGAGGCCAUCCUCGAGGAGGUGGCCAUCAACGACCCGGCCAGCUGCAGCCAGGAGAUCGAGAUCUUGGAGUGCGAGAUCGGCGACCGACUGGCGGAGUGGUGGACUUCGGCCAUGAUUGCCCUCGUCGGCCUCCUCCGGUACACCAAGUGCGUCCUCUUCAGCGCUGCCACGCCGGGGCCGCUCGACUCCAAGGUGGACGCCGACGACGAUGACGCCGAGCCUCUGGCGCCGCCGCCGGACUUCCGCUGCCCCAUCUCUCUCGACCUGAUGCGCGACCCGGUUGUGUCCGCUAGUGGCCAGACGUACGACCGCGAGUCCAUUACGCGGUGGUUCGGCGCCGGCAAGUCGACGUGCCCCAAGACCGGCCAGGUGCUGACUAAUCUGGAGCUGGUGCCCAACAAGGCGCUCAAGAACUUGAUCUCGCGGUGGUGCCGGGAGAAUGGCGUCGCCAUGGAAGGCAGCGAGCCUGGCAAGCCCGAGCCGGCGCCGCCGGUGGCCGCAAACAAGGCCGCGGUGGAGGCGGCGCGCAUCACCGCGUCGUUUCUGGUGAAGAAGCUCUCGGCGUCGUUCUCCCCUGGCUCGGACAACCGUGUCGUGCACGAGAUCCGUCUGCUCGCCAAGUCCGGCUCCGAGAGCCGCGCGUUCAUCGGAGAGGCUGGCGCCGUCCCGCUCCUCGUGCCGCUGCUCAACUCCGAGGACGCCGCGCUGCAGCUCAACUCCAUUGCGUGCCCGGCGCGCAGUGGCGGCCCUCUGCGAAGUGAUGGGCUCCGGCGCGACCUGGCGGGCGAAGGAGAACGCCGCUGCCACCGUGCGCCGCCUGGCGCUCGCCAACGAGUGAGGAGAGGAGGAGGGGAGGGGAAUGGUGCGGCGGGGGCGAGCUGGUGCGACCGGACCGGGUUGGAGAGCAGCAGCGCACCGGCUCGUCCUAGUCAGCGCGCGGGCACGCGCCGAUUGGCCAGCGUGGCACCUGACGGGUGGGCCCGAGCUGUCGGAUCGAGCGUCAAUACGUAUAAAUACGCGUUUUAG